AUUGAACGCUGGCGGCAGGCCUAACACAUGCAAGUCGAGCGAGCGGCGGACGGGUGAGUAAUGUAUGUGGAUCUGCCCGGGAGAUGGGGAUAACUACUGGAAACGGUGGCUAAUACCGCAUACUAUCGGAUGAACCCAUAUGGGAUUAGCAAGUAGGUGGGGUAAAGGCUCACCUAGGCGACGAUCUCUUGCUGGUCUGAGAGGAUGACCAGCCACACUGGAAAUGAGACACGGUCCAGACUCCUACGGGAGGCAGCAGUGGGGAAUAUUGGACAAUGGGCGCAAGCCUGAUGCAGACAUGCCGCGUGUGUGAAGAAGGCCUUCGGAUUGUAAAGUACUUUCAGCGGGGAGGCGUUACCCGCAGAAGAAGCACCGGCUAACUCCGUGCCAGCAGCCGCGGUAAUAC
rnacentral:rRNA from 1 species